UACGAAGGGGGCUAGCGUUGUUCGGAAUUACUGGGCGUACAGCGCACGUAGGCGGACUUGUAAGUCAGGGGUGAAAUCCCGGGGCUCAACCCCGGAACUGCCUUUGAUACUGCGAGUCUUGAGGUCGAGAGAGGUGAGUGGAAUUCCGAGUGUAGAGGUGAAAUUCGUAGAUAUUCGGAGGAACACCAGUGGCGAAGGCGGCUCACCGGCUCGAUACUGACGUUGAGGUGCGAAAGCGUGGGGAGCAAACAGG
rnacentral:rRNA from 1 species